rnacentral:lncRNA from 1 species
AUGGCAGCCAGCGGGGGACUUAGUUUAACAUAGGACCCUAUGGGAAAUUCAUACAAAUGACUUCUGUUAGAGAACCACUGCAUGGAAUGAAACCAAACAUGGCUUAAAUGUUCCUUAUGAGGUGCUGACCAAGUGUUGUUACUUUGUAGCUGAUCCAUCAUCCAAGAUGGCCGCCAGCGGGGGGACUUAGUUUAACAGAGGACCCUAUGGGAAAUGCAUACAAAUGACAUCUUUUAGAGAACCACUGAAUGGAAUGAAACCAAACAUAGCAUGAAUGUUCCUUACGCGAUGCUGACCAAGUGUUGUUACUUUGUCGCCGAUCCAUCAUCCAAGAUGGCUGCCAGUGGGGGCUUAGUUUAACAUAGGACCCUAUGGGAAAUGCAUACAAAAGUCUUCUUCUAGAGAACCACGGAAUUGAAUGAAAUCAAACAUAGCAUGAAUAGUCCUUUCCUUAUGAGGUGCUAGCCAAGUGUUGUUACUUUGUAGCCAAAUUUUAUCUGUUUUUAUAUGAUUUCAAAACCCCAAGUAGAGUCAGGUGAGCGAUACAGGAUCUUGAGAGCCUCUAGUUU